rnacentral:rRNA from 1 species
GAUGAACGCUGGCGGCGUGCCUAAUACAUGCAAGUCGAGCGAACAGACGAGGAGCUUGCUCCUCUGACGUUAGCGGCGGACGGGUGAGUAACACGUGUAUAACCUACCUAUAAGACGGGGAUAACUUCGGGAAACCGGAGCAAAUACCGGAGAAGAUAUUGAAGCGCAGGGGUCAAUAGUGAAAGUCGGCUUUUCGGUCAGGUAUAGAUGGAUCCGCGCUGGAUUGGCUAGUUGGUAAGGUAACGGCCUACCAAGGCUACGCUGCGUAGGCGAGCUCAGAGAGGGGUAGCCCACCCUGGAACUGGGCCACGGUCCUGGCUCCUAAGGGACGGAGCAGACGGCUAUCUUCCGCAGUAGGCGAGAGUCUGACGCAACGACGGCGCGUGUGUGAUGACAGCCUUGCGUUCGUAAAGCCCUCUUAUUAGGUGAAAACCGCUUUGUAAGUAGAUAAACACUUAUUGACGGUAACGGAUCAGAAAGCCCCGGCUAACUACGUG